rnacentral:lncRNA from 1 species
CACAGUCCCACGAGGACUGCUGAACAUGGUCUUUCUUUACUAAUGAAUAGAAGCACACAUGCUGUUGCAUGCAUUACCCUACAGUCUUAUAACUAUAUGAAAGUCUCAGUGGCAUCCACAUAUCAGUUUUUACCAGUUAUACUUGAAAAAUGCUUAUUCUCAUACAGGCCAACCACCUUUAUUUCCAUUUACUUCAUGGUAAGUUCUCAAUAACACCAAAAGCACUUAUAAUAUUUUAGCCGGGCAUGGUGGUAUUUGCUUAUAAUCCCAACAUCUUGGGAAACUGAGGCAGGAAGAUUACAAAUUCAAAGCCAGCCUCAGCUACUUAGCAAGGUCCUAAGCAAAAUUCAAAAAAUGGGGCAAUGGCUCAGUGGUUAAGUGCCCCUAGUACCAAAAUAAAUUAAUUAAAAAUUUAAAAAGAAUAUUUUAGCAUAAUUUUGGUAUAUUUAAGAUAUAAUCAUUUAUAAAUAAUUUUAAUUUUAACUGAACACUUAUUAGUGAUUUAAAACAGGAACUUUAGUAUCUUUUUUAUAAAUUUAUUCUGAUUAUGUGUAUAUAACAGCAGAAUGCAUUUUGAUUCAUUGUACACAAUUGCAGUACAACUUUUCAUUUCUCUAAUUGUACACCAUGUAGCAUCAUACCAUAUGUGCAGGCAUACAUGUUCAUAGGAUAAUAAUGUCCAUCACAUUCUACCAUCUUUCCUGCCCUCACACCCGCUCUCUUUCUCUCCCUCCACUUUGGCCAAUCAAAGUUCCUCCUUUUGUCCCAUCCCCCCCCCAUACCCACCAUUAUGAAUCAGCAUCCACUUAUCAGAGAGAACGUUCAGCUUUUGGUUUGGGGGGAUUGGCUUAUUCCCUCAGCAUGAUAUUCCCCAACUCCGUCUAUUUACCUGCAAAUACCAUAAUUUUAUUCUCUUU